rnacentral:lncRNA from 1 species
AAGAAAGUAACGUAACCAUCCUUACCCUCGGGGCGCGCCGAGCUCAGACCCACGCUCGCCAGGGCGUCCUCCCGCAGGAGCUCGGUCAGGUCGUUGCCCCUCCCGAGGGCUCGCAGAGAGUCUAGGGUCCUCAGCUCCCUCCUCGAGGGCUCAGAGAGCUUAUUGAGGGCCUUCAACCGAGGGUUCCCCCACCUCGGGUCGAACCCCCAAGGCGCCUCGGACGCCAGGAAGAAAAAUUUCCCCUUCCACUCAUGAAUCGAGGAAGGGGCACCCUGGAAGAGUGACAUACCGCCCCGAAAGGCGAAGUAUAGCCACCC